UUUAGAUUUAUGUAAAAAAAAAAAGUAGUGUCCAGGCCUGAUGUGGUGGUACAUACCUGUAAUCCCAAAUAUCAUAGAGGCUGAGGCAGAAGGAUCACAACUUCAAGGCCAACCUGGGUAACUAAGUGAUAAUAGGUCUCAAACUAUCAAAAAAUUUUGUAUAUAUAUGAGUGAUAAAGCACCCUGAGUUCAAUCCCCAGUGCCAUAUAAAACAGUAGUUUCCAAAAUUUACACCCAAAACAGCAGCCUACACUCUAUCUGCAACUAUGUAAAGUUUUAAAAGGAAGCUAAAUUUAGCCAUUCCUACUACUAGUUGUCUGAUUAUAUCGAUCAUAAUCUUGAAAUAUAUACAUAGAAGACCCUUCACAAUGUUUUAGGUGUUCCCAUUAUUUUUUCUAAUUACAAUGAGAGAGGGAGGAAAACCAAUUUAACUUAUGGGCUCUUCUUUUUCUUCAGGACUAAUGAAUCAAAUAUUAAAAGGAUUUAGCAUUUAAUUGAUUAUCAAUUAUGAUAUGUGUUCUGUGAUUUCUUGCUUAAUCUACAUUGGACAAUUUAUUAUUUCUGAGUAUCAGCAUCUCUACAGGCCACCAAACCCCACUCUAUUUUUUAAUAAUUACAAGUCCCUGUUUUCAUGCUUCCUCAGUUAUUCUCUUUUAAACAUAAUUAUGUGUUGCAUUCUUUGUCUACAGAAAAAU
rnacentral:lncRNA from 1 species